CAGCAGCCGCGGGAAUACGGAGGGGGCUAGCGUUGUUCGGAAUUACUGGGCGUAAGGCGCACGUAGGCGGCUUGGUAAGUUAGAGGUGAAAGCCCAGGGCUCAACCCUGGAAUUGCCUUUAAGACUGCCGAGCUAGUAGGUGAGAGAGGUAAGUGGAAUUCCGAGUGUAGAGGUGAAAUUCGUAGAUAUUCGGAAGAACACCAGUGGCGAAGGCGGCUUACUGGCUCAUUCUAGACGCUGAGGUGCGAAAGCGUGGGGAGCAAACAGGAUUAGAUACCCGCGUAGUCCCUGUCUCUUAUAC
rnacentral:rRNA from 1 species